ACCGGCCCUCGUGGAUUGGGAUUGGGGACCCCUGAGCUAAAGGUUCAACAGGUUUAUUGAAACACAAGAUGCACCCCAGUGUUCAGUAUAUUGGCUUUCAACAUGCAAGUUGGAGGAGCCAGGGAUUGAGCCAUGGACCUCCCAAUUAGUCUAUCGCGCACUCUACAGGAGGUAGACCGGCUGUGGCUCAUAAUUACAGAGGAAAGACCUAGGUACACUGUGUUCCCAGCAAUAUUCACCCAUCCGGACCAUUGAACUCAAGAGUUCCAGUCACUUCCAUAACCACAGGUUAUGUAUAAAACUCAGCACUGGGCAUGGAGACUGCUUCUACAGACAUGAAUGCAUCUCUCUCUGGAGCUCAGUGAACUCCAGCAAGAGCUCCAGCUGGUGCUUUAGACCUUUUCCCUGAAGCGUGCCGUCAUGUUUACAUCUUGCUGAGGUGCAGAUGGCGAUCUUGAUUAUAGACAGAUGCUGACUGAAAUAUUAUCUCCAGAGCUGCAGUUCUUUACUGCUUUGCAGUUCUGUGCCAACACAUGAAUGACUGUAAUUGCACUCCAAGACGUCAUAGCGCCAUGCGAAAAGAAAUGUGAAACAUACAUGUCCCUGUACUCCACGUACUUGCUCGUCUUGCAUUAGAGGUCAGGUUUCUGAUUAUGAAGCCCGGUUAAUGCACUUUUGUUUUAAAAUGUGCUGUGAAACUCAUGAAAGAGCUGUUAGUUCAAAUGUGCGUCACAGACAUCAGUCCCUUUAAUGAAUACAAACAGAAAACUGUACUUAAAACGUAGUUGUAGACACUGUUUUGGCACCCCUGUGUUUGUGAACUCACAUUUUGUGUCAUGUUUUUCUUU